rnacentral:tRNA from 1 species
CGGCGUGAGAUCCGCCGGGUUGUCGUAGACGCCGACGUUCACGCCGAUGGCCUGGUGCGUGUCGUUCCAUUCGAUGCACGCCGCC